rnacentral:lncRNA from 1 species
GCACACAGAACUAGAUUCCUGCCGGGGGGGGGGGGGAAGGGUCACAUCAAAGACUGGAGAGGAUUCACGCCCCGUCUCCCUAAAGCAAUUCGAGGCGGUGUUUCCACACCCCCAACCCCCCGCCCCGUAGAAGUGAGUGCCCAGCUUUUCGAAACUCUUCGGUAAUUCUUUUCCUGCUCUGGGAGCUGGCGUUGACCUCUUAACAAAGAACAGGUUCAAGCUGCUUCCCCUCCUCCACCCCAGGAGACUGAUGAGGGUCACGUGACCUUUCUAGACAGCACAGAAUUUGGAUGGGAGAAUGAUUUUCAGACUGGAGAAGCUGGAACAAAAAUGAUUAACACGGAAUUGAAGAACACUCAGCUCUGGUUGCAGCUGAGAUUGAGCAGACCCAGGCAAAACACCAUCUGCUUUACUGGGAUCAGGUGAAUCUGUCCCAAGGCUGGUCCUACAUCAUCUGGAGAAGAGUCUGGAAUUGGCAUGCACUGACAGAAGACAAGGGAAGCAUUGUCAUGUAAAGUGCACAAACAGUGCAUUUUUGUGGCCCAACAGCAGUUUGAUAUGCAAAAGAAGGAAUGUGACAUUCUUCACAUAAGUUGUCUGUAGAAGAUAGAAGAAUCAAAUUUCAAAGGAUUUCCGAGGUUUCAGAAAAAGGAUAGACUCCCUAGAUUAAAAUUCUAUACGACAAGUUUCCUUAUUUUAGAUUAUUUCAAAAUGUAUUUGUCUUGGCCAGGCUAGAAGUUCAGUGGCCUCUCACAGUAUACAACUGAAUGCUCCAUUUCUGACCUGGACCAAUUCCAUCCUCCUCAGGCAUCCUUGUGGCUCCUCUGAUCUCAGAAGCUCACUAUGUUGGUGCCAGACAGU